UAGAGGUAGCAAGAGGAGAAGGAAAGUCGCGUGUAGCGCUUAUUGAUACUGUUAAUNUUCUUUCAUUAUCGCUGGGCUCCGCUCAGCUGUAUCGCUNUCAUUCAGUAUUUCUCAAUUUCUUUUCAUUAGAACUUUUAACCACACUAAAAGAAUGUAAAGAGAUANUACAAUAGAAGGAAGAGAAAAAGGAACAAUACAAAUGCAUACAGAUAAAACUAAAUCGUGUAAAAAUGGAGAAUAAUAUAGUGAGGUGGGGGGCGCCUAUUUUAAUACUAUACACAGCCAUAAAUAAUGCUACUAGUACCUAUAUAUACAUACUAUAAAUUUAGCUACUUAAUAUCAUGUCUAAUAAAUACAUAUACUUUCUACAAGGCGUACAUCUAAAUCCACAUACAUCAAACACUUAUACUAAUGAGUGAUCUAGACGAGUUACUCUACUACUAUGCUUUAAUUUAAGAUGGUCUAUUAAUGUUUAGAUAUUGAAAGUUAUAUGAAUGUGUAGAAUAUCUUUGCAUUACACGAUAUCGUAUACUUUAUUAACCUGCAUCUCAUACAGUUAAACUAAACUAACAUACUCUACUAGUUCACAAACCAGUGAUCACUUAAAAAAGGGUGUACGAGGACUUCUUUACGUCUAAUUAAGAUGAAUAGUUAUUGUUUGAUAUACGCUAAAUAUCAUGCCCUUUCCUAUACUGAAUAUUAUACACUUCCUUAAACUUCACCUCUCAUGAUAUAUAAAACGCUUUCCAAUUGAAUCCCUACGAACUAGUCCUAACAUAAUUGUAAUAACCCCUCCACUCUUAAAAAAACAUAAUAUAAUAAGAUGUAAAAAUAUAAUACAUAAUUUGCCUGCUAAUAAAUUUAACUAGAGUAGUAGGAACGAAAACAUGACACUCGCAGUCUCACAGCAGGUCGUCACGGCUAUCCUAUAUAUAAGCAUCAUAUGAUUUGUAUUCUACUAAAUAGUAUAAUAAAACU
rnacentral:rRNA from 1 species